rnacentral:rRNA from 1 species
AUUGAACGCUGGCGGCAUGCCUUACACAUGCAAGUCGAACGGCAGCGGGGGAGAAGCUUGCUUUUCCUGCCGGCGAGUGGCGAACGGGUGAGUAAUACAUCGGAACGUGCCCUGUAGUGGGGGAUAACUAGUCGAAAGAUUAGCUAAUACCGCAUACGACCUGAGGGUGAAAUGGGGGGACCGCAAGGCCUCAUGCUAUAGGAGCGGCCGAUGUCUGAUUAGCCAGUUGGUGGGGUAAAGGCCUACCAAGGCGACGAUCAGUAGCUGGUCUGAGAGGACGAUCAGCCACACUGGGACUGAGACACGGCCCAGGCUCCUACGGGAGGCAGCAGUGGGGAAUUUUGGACAAUGGGCGAAAGCCUGAUCCAGCAAUGCCGCGUGUGUGAAGAAGGCCUUCGGGUUGUAAAGCACUUUUGUCCGGAAAGAAAUGGCUCUGGUUAAUACCUGGGGUCGAUGACGGUACCGGAAGAAUAAGGACCGGCUAACUACGUGCCAGCCGCCGCUGUAA